rnacentral:rRNA from 1 species
AUUGAACGCUGGCGGCAUGCCUUACACAUGCAAGUCGAACGGCAGCACGGGGCAACCUGGUGGCGAGUGGCGAACGGGUGAGUAAUGCAUCGGAACGUACCUUUCAGUGGGGGAUAACGUAGCGAAAGUUACGCUAAUACCGCAUAUUCUGUGAGCAGGAAAGCAGGGGAUCGCAAGACCUUGCGCUGAUUGAGCGGCCGAUGUCAGAUUAGCUAGUUGGUGAGGUAAAGGCUCACCAAGGCGACGAUCUGUAGCGGGUCUGAGAGGAUGAUCGGCCACACGGGAACGGAGACACGGUCCAGACUCCUACGGGAGGCAGCAGUGGGGAAUUUUGGACAAUGGGGGCAACCCUGAUCCAGCCAUGCCGCGUGAGUGAAGAAGGCCUUCGGGUUGUAAAGCUCUUUCGGCCGGGAAGAAAUCGCACGGGCUAAUACCCUGUGUGGAUGACGGUACCGGAAUAAGAAGCACCGGCUAACUACGUGCCAGCAGCCACCGCCGUAA